GUGCUUGCUUCAGCAGCACGUGUGCUAAAAUUGGAACAAUACGAAGGGGAUUAGCAUGGCCCCUGUGCAAGGAUGGCAUGCAAAUUCAUGAAGUAUUCCGUAUUUUA